UGUCGCGCCACAACUUAUAAAUUUGUCUCGUGCCUGUUUGUUGAAAAACAAACUACUGCCCACGUGACCAAGUCAUGUGAUGCAUCGUUAGGCUGCCAUUUUGGACGUCACGGCUCGAAUCAGUUUGAAUGCGAGGAAGGCGACAAACGAAAAACAUAAAAGAAAAAGGAGCGAGAUGCAGAAAACACCUUCACUAUCCAGCGACGUAGGGCAUUUACAGGGCAAGCAGAGGGAGAGGUAUUUGCAAAAAUUGAGGUUAGCAGGCUUAGAGAACGAUGUUUACCUGCUUCCACCAGGAUUGUUCACUGACGUACGGAAGUACACGAAGCCCUCGUCUUUACCUGACUUCGGCCCACAUGAUCUGUAUACCUAUGUCAUUAAAAACCCAUCGCCAUACACAGGUAUUGAUCUGAAAGCGUAUAAGAGUUUGGAUGCCUACAAAUAUUUUGUGUCAGGCUGGGUAACAUGCCUACAUCAGUGAGUCGUCCCUGGAGCCGGUGGUCGCCAUCUUAUUACAGCUAAGAUCGUGCUCGGACAUCAGCUCUACCAGGAGUUCCCCGUUCCUAUUUGUGGUGGAGUGGUAUGGGAAUGGAACAUCCUCCUUGCCAAUCCUAUCGUUAAAGUCUCCAAGGACUAUGAGGAAGUUGUGAGUUGGGACACAUCGCAGGAGUGAGUGCAAAUCAUCAUAGAAUUCUUCGGUUUCUUCAAGUGGGGCUGAGUUGGUGGGUGAGUACACUACAACCACAGUUGUUAUUGGAUUACUCUCAAAUUCAGCAAGGAGGAUUCGUUUGGAGUGUCUUUCUGUUCUGCGUAGAGCUUUACGUGCCUUAGUGCUAAUGAUCAGACCUACUCCCCCUACCGAUGCCUGCAUAUCAUUUCUCCAUGCUGAGGAAACUAUAAGGUAGCUGCUUUCAACUCUCUCCAUCUCUAUUAUGUCUGCAUUCUCAAGCACUUUGCGAUGUUCUUGUACUCCCGUUAUAUCGAUUUGACAUUUCUCUACACAGUGUGUAAGUUCUAGUACUCUUGCUUCUUCACGUAAGGUGUUUGCAUUGAAACUUGCCACUUGUAGAGUCUUUCUGCAACGCAGAAGAGCAUUGGACCUUCUGUUGCCAUCCAACAUCCCCCUCCCAGUUGGGUUUAAGGAGAUAUCUUCAUCCAUCUCAACUAUCGUUGGGCCAUCAGAACUGUCCACUCUGUUUACAUUUCGAUUGUAAUUAUCCUCCAUUACCGUUGUGUGAUACAUUUGACUUGACAAUGCUAAUAAUCACCGUGGGCGCAACUCCACUCGGUGAUAAGCGGAUUGCUAUGGAUACUCAGCCAUAGGACACUACUCAAAAGAGCUCAUACCAGGGUCCACCGGUAGUUACAAUUUUUACAGGCCUAUUACCAAACCCCCAACCUGGAGGACCAGGUGUUGCAAUUUGUCUGGACUUUCCCCUAGUACCUGCCCAGCAAGGUUGAACCUGACAGGGACCUAGGUCCCAACUGGUAUAGCUACUAGGAUCAUCAAGCCACACAAACUUCCCCACCACUUUAAGGCGCAACACUUAGGGAAGACACUUAUAAACUCUUCCCUAAGUACAUUAUAAUCGCUCAUAACUUGCGUGUGAUACAAGCCAGGAGUAGGUAUAAAACCAGCGUGUCUGCAGCAUUCUGCAUCUGUCUUUUGACUGAAGAACAUUGGAUAUUUUGUGGGAAAAAUUUAAAAAUUUUCAGUUUAAAGUUUAGAAAAUGGGACCCAAGAAGAAGCAACCAAAAGUAAAGUAACACAGCCUGAAACAGCAGAGGGGGAGGAAGAAUUUGAUGAUGAUGGUAGCAGCACCGGUGAGCCCUACGCGGACAGGGAGAAGUAUGCCUUCAAGCCGGCAGAAGGCACAGCACCCCGCCAGAGGUAUUUUCACAGCUAAUGACGCCCAGAAGUGAGGACAUCACAAUCCCAUCAUCGCUGUCAGGCCAUUUUGCCAUGCUCAGUGAUGAGGACAUCCCAACACCCCGUCCCACCCUUCAGCAGGAGUAGGAGCAGGACAGCAGCUCAGAGUCAAAGCGUGUUUCAGUGCUCAAACUGUUGGGCUAUUUAGUUGGGAUUUUUUACAGUGUAAUAAAAUGCGUUAUUCCCUUA